CCUACGGGCGGCAGCAGUAGGGAAUCUUCCACAAUGGGCGAAAGCCUGAUGGAGCAACGCCGCGUGGGUGAAGAAGGUCUUCGGAUCGUAAAACCCUGUUGUUAGAGAAGAAAGUGCGUGAGCGUAACUGUUCACGUUUCGACGGUAUCUAACCAGAAAGCCACGGCUAACUCCGUCCCAGCAGCCGCGGUAAGACGUAGGUGGCAAGCGUUAUCCGGAUUUGUUGGGCGUAAAGGGAACGCAGGCGGUCUUUUAAGUCUGAUGUGAAAGCCUUCGGCUUAACCGGAGUAGUGCAUUGGAAACUGGGAGACUUGAGUGCAGAAGAGGAGAGUGGAACUCAAUGUGUAGCGGUGAAAUGCGUAGAUAUAUGGAAGAACACCAGUGGCGAAAGCGGCUCUCUGGUCUGUAACUGACGCUGAGGUUCGAAAGCGUGGGUAGCAAACAGGAUUAGAUACCCUAGUAGUC
rnacentral:rRNA from 1 species